GAGUUUGAUCCUGGCUCAGAACGAACGCUGGCGGCAGGCCUAACACAUGCAAGUCGAGCGCGCCCUUCGGGGUGAGCGGCGGACGGGUUAGUAACGCGUGGGAAUAUACCCUUUGGUACGGAAUAGCCUCUGGAAACGGAGAGUAAUACCGUAUGUGCCCUUCGGGGGAAAGAUUUAUCGCCAAAGGAUUAGCCCGCGUUAGAUUAGGUAGUUGGUGGGGUAAUGGCCUACCAAGCCUACGAUCUAUAGCUGGUUUUAGAGGAUGAUCAGCAACACUGGGACUGAGACACGGCCCAGACUCCUACGGGAGGCAGCAGUGGGGAAUCUUGGACAAUGGGGGCAACCCUGAUCCAGCCAUGCCGCGUGAGUGAUGAAGGCCUUAGGGUCGUAAAGCUCUUUCGCCUGUGAAGAUAAUGACGGUAGCAGGUAAAGAAACCCCGGCUAACUCCGUGCCAGCAGCCGCGGUAAUACGGAGGGGGUUAGCGUUGUUCGGAAUUACUGGGCGUAAAGCGCACGUAGGCGGAUCGGAAAGUUGGGGGUGAAAUCCCGGGGCUCAACCCCGGAACUGCCUCCAAAACUAUCGGUCUAGAGUUCGAGAGAGGUGAGUGGAAUUCCGAGUGUAGAGGUGAAAUUCGUAGAUAUUCGGAGGAACACCAGUGGCGAAGGCGGCUCACUGGCUCGAUACUGACGCUGAGGUGCGAAAGUGUGGGGAGCAAACAGGAUUAGAUACCCUGGUAGUC
rnacentral:rRNA from 1 species